CGGCGAACCCGACACACCUGUGCAGGGGUUAUCUUAGACUGAGCUCUGCAGAUAGACUGUAGGGGGCCAUGUGUCCACCACGCACGACUACAUCCGGCAGUUAAUCAGGACAACGAGUAGCUUAAAACUCCCUCUUUUAAAAAAAAAAAAACAACCCUGCGAACGGAGGAAGAGGUCUUGUUUGUUAGACUAGGUUUGACUGUUUUAGUUUGGACAUCUGUUUUCUUUUUAAUCGCCUGUAUUUUAGCUUCAGACGUGUUUAACCCCCCCCACCAGUCUUAGAGAUUUUUAGUUCAACUACAGUGAACACUGUGGGCUGAUUUCCAGUCUUAAGUCUUGCUCUGUCACCGUCGGCCAUCGACUAGACGUGCUCAAAUAGGUUUCCUUUCAGUCCACUUGUCCACUGCAGUUGACCACGUUCCUGAAAACCUACGAAGUUGAACCAGUGGGGUAACACGGGCAAGAUAACUACUGUACAGUAUGGUAAUAUUUCCCCGAAGUUCUCUGAUCGCUUGUUAAACCUGCAAGUCCACGCCAUUACUAUUUAAGUGCAGGGACAUCAAAGGACAAAGGGGGGUUAUUUCAGACAAAUGCCUUUCAUUGUAUAAUCCUGGUGCAGUCUAUCAUUAGUGUUGUUAAAGAUGGUAUACAACUAUACAAUUGUAUGUUCGUUUUUUAAAUAAAAACAUUCAUAAGCAAAACCCAGGUUAUCAGUUUUAUGUAGCACAUAACCAAUAUUUAUUUAGUGAGAAUCUUAGAGAGGACGCCCGUUUAGAUUUAUCAGGUAAGACGUUUUCAUGAUUUUUCCCAGAAAUCGGGUCACUGUUUUGUGUCACUGAAGUUAUAUGGCUCUAAUAUCAAAACGCCCUGAUUGGUGGACCCAUGUGUCCAUAAAGCAGUGUCUAAUCUAAUGUAAAGCACAUUCACUGCUUGAGUGUGGUAGUUUAACAUCCAUUAUGACGUUUCAAAGUGCAGUGGGGGGAAAACAACUAAUUGUUGGUGAACUGGAAAGUUUACACGCUUAUUAUAUAUAAAUCUAAAUUCAGAAGGAUGCAUUUGAAACCUCAAACCUGGCAUUUUACUAAUGUAAAAAUAACUGUUUUCUUAUGGCUAAACAGUCCCACAGACCACAGUGUAGAAAUUGAAAAUGGUAGUGGGCUAAAUAGUGCCGUUAGUUUUAAAGUGCAAUUGAUUUUUUUUUCCACGUCCCAUGCCCUUGAAAAUGUAUAAAUUUGUUCAACUUCACCCACUAUUUCAAACUACUGCUACCGAGUUCAUCUGCUCACAAUGAACUAUUGUGGGGGAGUGAGUCCUGAGAUUUCCAAAUUUGGUUUUAUCCAGAGCCUGAUUUGCACUUUUUUUUUAUUUGGAUGGGUAUCUGCCGUUUUGCUAGAUGAGUCAUUGAUUUGUUGGGUGUAGCCAAAUCUAUUUACUUUAAUUGCAUGUUGGAUUCUGUAGCAAAAUUCACGGCUUUCAGUAGUUGCCCGUUACAUUGGAAGUGCCACUGAUGUACACAAGGGGUGUCUUGUAUUGGAAUGUGGGACUCUGCUUGCUUAAAUUCCGGAAAUACUGGGUGAUGCCGAGUCAUUUGCGAUUGAACACUACUCCCUUGCUGGGUUUUGCUGCAGAACCGGAUUGUCUACCCUAACAAAAGUGUUUAAUUAUUGGUACUACACCUUUAACUUUUAACUUUAAAUUGAGUUUCUAUGGUAAAAGUAUAUUUCAGUUAACAUUGUAGGAUUUCUUCUGUACAUUAUCCCAUGGCAUGUUCAGUGGGGAAAAUGUCCUUGCAUAAUGCAUGGGUGAUUUUAAGUGACUUCUAACCUUAUUUACCUGAUUAACUUUUAGGCCUAUGUGAAGCGGCAUUGGAUGCACUUAUCUUGGAGGAAUGUGUGGAUUAAUGAGGGCUCAUAUUUAUUUCUGAUUCCUACAUUUAGGUAUUCGUAUUGUAAUCCUGGUACCUCAAAAUAGCUGUAGAAGUUUGUUUAUACAGGGACCCUGUUCAGUACCUGGGGUCGGUUGUGAUAGGACUCUGUGAAAGUUUCUCAUUAGGAUCACACCGUGCAACACUAGGUAUGUAAAUCACUCUCUGUCUUCACCUACAUGUUGGUUACAAGCACCAUAUAGAUCUUUUUGGGUGUUACAGUAAGUCUCUUAAAAGAAUUAUCAACAUGGGGGACUGGGGUAAAUGUUUUGAAUUUCUUUAACCAAUCAAGUCCUAUUAAAUUCUAUGGCUUAUGAAGUUUUGAACAUAAAAGUAAUUUUUUAUAGAAGGGGGGGGAAAAAGCCACAUUAAUAGCACAUAGAAGGCUUCCCUUGUUGGUUGAGCCACAUUAGUGUACUGUACCCAUUAUGUCUAGUAACUUAAGUCCUGUCGUCUUUUUAGGUUGUAAUGCAACCAUAUAUUACAAGGAUAAAGGCAAAACAAGGGAGCCACAGGGGCUGGACCCCUGUCAAAAGUUUCAGGCGCUGAAAAGGAAGGCGUCUGGGGCUAGAAAUGUCGUGCAAGUGAGCCAUUGAAGAAAGGUUGGAGGGCGGGUGGAGGAAAGGAUGGUCUGUUGGUGAAUAUCAUUCUCUGCUCUCCACUCUGCACGGCAUCAUAGACUUCGAAGAAGUCCGUCAGUCACUUGAGGAGACUGAAAACAUCUUUUCUACAUGAUGUUUGGAACAUUGGUUUUGUUCUGUUUUUUUUAAAUAAAAGAUUUUAUUUCUACUUUGAAAA